CAUGAUCCUCUCCAGGGUGUGGUUAUCCCUAUUGCUUGUACACUUUUUGUCUUUUGCCAAAGUACAACAAAGAGUAUGUUCCCUUGAGGUUAAAAUACUGGCAACCUGAUAUACCUCCCAUUCAUUGCACCUACACAACUGGGCAAGUUCCACCUCUCCUUGAAGCCGUAGGUGAUCUCCUGCUAAUCAGCAGUCUUUGGUACAGGCAGAAAUUAAUUCACUAGGCUGUCCCAAAUGGCCUUGGACACAUCUGGUACAAUGACUGGCACAGUGGAGAUGCCCACUCGGUCACUUCUCAGCACAGGACACAUGCAACAAUCAAAUGACUAGACGUAUAGAAAUCCCGUUAAAAUGUUGAAAACUCUGUCUACUUUGCAUAAUUUGCCUUGUAUCCAAAGGGCUGUGCUAAUCCCAUGUCCUGUGUGAAAGGGCCUUUAGAGAUCAUGUUGGCAUUCAGGGGUUUAAUCUUAGAAUGGUCUUCUUCAUAUUUAAAAGAUAGGACUUUUUCAGUUAGUCUAGGAAAUUACCCAUCAGUUGCCACUCUCAUUUGUGGGGUUCCUCAGGGUUCAAACCUGGGACUGGUUUUGUUUUUCAAACAAAAUGCUCCCUCUAGGGUCUAUUUUUGAAAAACAUGCCGUUAGUUAUCAUUUGUAUGAUGGUGACUCACAAAUUUUCUGUGUGAGUCCAAUUGAUUCGAAAUGUGAACUCAUUUGAACAAUACAGUCCAAUUUGGUGAACUUGUACAUUGGUGCACUAAAAACAACCAGUUCAAAAGAUUAUUUGAUUGUGAAGCACACAUCACUAUUGCUGACUGGAUUAUUUUAGUUAAAUCUUGGUAACUGUGGUGUCUUUUUCCCAUCCGGAGCAAAUGUAAACAUGCCUGAUCCAUAUUUGUGUUGGGACCCGAAGGAUCCCAAUAAAGUGCUCUACUGUGAGUUUUAUGAGGAUUUUGAUAACUGCCAGUUUGAAAGUAUUUGGGGCAUGUCCUAAAGAAAGCAAAGAUUUAACAUUGAUGAGGUUCUGAGAUUACACUCUAGUUAUAUAGUGGGUAUAGAAUCUAGGAUACAUGUGGUUGGAUUUGAUGUUUUAAUGUCUACAGGCUUUCAUGUCUUUGUACCAAUAAACUGGGGUUGACAUGUUUUUGUUUCUCUUCACCCUAGACCUGAUGCGACGGAAAGAGGAGAGUCAAGACCUGGAUGAAAUUGAAGAGAAAGAUCAGUAUGAAAAAAUAUUAAGAUUUCAUGACUGGGGGAAAAACUUUUAUUUAUUUGCAGACUCAAAAAACAGAAAAUGGAUGCCUUGAAUUCCAGAUGAGAGUUCAUAAUGGAAAAAAGCCUUGUGACUGCCAGCAGUGUGGAAAGAGUUUCAUUCGAAAAAACAACCUUAAAAGCCACUUGAAAAUUCAUAGUGGAAAGAAGCUUUACACCUGCAAACAGUGUGGGAAGAGCUUCUCACUAAAAGGAAACCGUAAUAGUCACACGAGAAGCCAUGAUGGAGCGAAGUCAUUCAUCUGCUCUCAGUGUGUAAAUAAUUUUAAACAGAAAGAGUACCUUAAUGCCCAUGGGACAAUACACACUAGAGAGAAGCCUCACACCUGCAAAAUGUGCGGGAAGAGCUUCAUGCGAAAAGAACAUCUUAAAAUUCACAUGAGAACUCACACUGGAGAGAAAGAAGCCUUACAUUUGCCAACAGUGUGGGAAGAGCAUCAUGCGAAAAGGAAUUCUUAAUAUUCACACACUGUAAAUGCAAACAUGCUAUUUAAUUAAAAAUAUUAAUUCGACUUUAAUCAGUUUUUAUCAACCUGCUAUUUACACUUGCUUUUAUUAAGUUACUUGUACUUUGAGGUUGAAAAAUCUUACCAGCUCAGUUUACUUGAGUUAGAUUAAUUUAGAAAAAGUAAGUUCAUGAUCUGUGGGCAUGCGCAGAUCAGUCCUCUCUACGCUAGACGGCGAUAUUUGUUCACCACUAUGGCCCCUCCCUUCAAUAGCUACUAUUGGCCAGGCGUCCAUGCUUACGUACCUGAUUUGUACAGGUCAUAUCCCCUGACUAACCUUAACCAAUCCAGGUGAAAUGCCUAACCCCAACCAAUCAAGCUGCUUCGUAGGGCGGGUCUUGGCGUGGCGGGAUUCGUAAAUUUGCAGAGAUGUCACAUCGUGCCUGCAACUGAACUGACCAGGUGGAGCUGGACCUAAACAUCGCUUCAACUGGGCUUUUGUUUAUCUUCAUCAUAUCAGCGAUUCUUGUGCUUGGCACACUCAUUUGGCUCAAGCAGAUGGUGAUCAAUCCACACAUAGGUAGUCCCAGCAGUAAAAGAUACUGUGGGUUCGACUUAUAGCCCAUUAAGAUGAUAACUUCAGUGUUGCACAAGCACUGAUCAGAAAAUACCCCUUCCUCGCUGAGCCUGGACCACACAAAUGGUAUGGCUGGAAAAACAGCCUUAAAUUUAAGAUGGCCAAUUAUCGCACAAAGCUUCGAAAAGCUGGAUGUGAGGAUGUAGCAAUCCUGGUUGAAAAUGGUUGAAUGAUGGCCAGCACUCUUCACAGAGAGACAGGUGUUUGCUGAGUUUAAUAGAAUCGCCAGUAAGAAUCUUGAGGGAGACUUUUUUGAGGCUCAGGACCAGUACGCACCACGUUUCAUCGAACUCUUCAAAACAAAGAAGGGAACUGUUGGUCAGAAACUCAGGGAGCUGAUUCAGCACAUAAGCUGUAAGACACCAGACGUGACAGUACUCCACUCUGUUGUCCUCAAAGGCAUUCCCAUUUUACUCUGUGAUGAAUCCAGUGAAUUCUAUAAGACCUGCUCUGAUACAACGAGAGACGAGGCCCUAGAAUGCAUCACUGUUGGUGUGCUGACAGUUGUCAGUGAAGAUAGUCCUCAUGAGGGUCAAAGCUCAGUGGACCUCCAGCCCAUCUCCACUGCCAUCAUUCUGGAGGAAGGUAUUGUCAUGGAUCAAAUUAAAAACUUGUCUCAGGCAGUUUGUCUGUUGUUUGGACUUACAUAUGUAUUGCAUUUGGAUUACCCAAAAUGCAUGGCAAAUACACUCCACUUCAUUCAGACUGUGAUGCUUGGACUGGGAAAGAAAAAAACUCCCAUCAAAACUGUUAACUCUGAAGAACAGUCUUUUGGGUUAGAACAGUAAAGAGCCGUCAGCUGUCAGAUAGCACUUUGUAAGCUUUGCAGCCAUUAAUGUUUGAUGCUUUCAUGCAACUGUUCACGCUAAUUUACGAUCUCAUUUUGAAAAAGAAAAGAAAAAAUCCAUGGAAGUCUGUACCAUGUUAUGCAGGUAUGCUAAUGGUGGAAAUAGAGCUGUUUGCAAAGUGUUGUUAGUUGUUAUUAGAUGAUAAUGACAGAAAAUAACCUAGCAAGGUUGUCCUGUUUACAUUUGUGUUUUUGGAAAACUUUUAAUAGUUUUAAUGUAGUACAAAUACAAACCCCAAGGAGUGAUUUUUAUUUAUUUUUUUUCUUUGUGGUGGUUUAAUCUUUGGACUGUUCAAUUUGGGAAACAAAAGCAUUCGUUGUACUUACAGCUUUGAUCAGAAAUGCACUGAUUUUUCCAUGCACUGAAGUCCUGUAGUUAUCAGGUUUUUACCUGUUUAAUAUUGGGAGACUCUUAUUAGCUCACAGAAAUGUGGUUUUAUUUUUUAUGUUUUUCCUUUAUUUUCUACAGUUAAAUCAAACAACAACUUUGUUGUUUAACCUCUGUUUGUACUUGAAUGUGCAUUGAAUAAAUGUUGUAAUGGAGCUGAA